rnacentral:lncRNA from 1 species
GACAGAAGAACAGGAUGGACUCCGGAGAAGGGGGUUGUGGAAAAAUGCAAGACUCUAUAUUGUAUGAAGGAGAAACACAGAACUAACAUGGCCGUCCGGGGAAAAUUUCCUAGAAGAAAUGACUUCCAUGCUGAGAUAGAGUUGGCCUGGGACAGAGAAUACCAGUGGUGACCUAUGAUGUAGGCUCCAAUUACUGCUCCAGCACCUUGCCUGCCUGCAGCCAUCUCCCCUCUAUGAUGGUUAUGGAUAUACCCUCUGAAGCCUUACACCCCCACUAAACUCUUCCUUAAGUCGUCUUGGUUGUGGUGUGCUUUGUCACAGCAAUUGCAAAGUAACUACGCCAGGGGUAGAGGGCAGACAGGAGGAAGACGAGAAGGGGGAAGAAGAAGGAAGAGGAGGAGAAAAUAAAGGAGAGGAAGAAGAAGACAAAGGGGAGGAGGAGAGAAGAAACAUGAAGAAGAGAAGGAAAAGGAGGAGGAGGGGUAAGAGAGGGAGCGAUUCAUGGAAUUGAAGUCAGAGCUCUGAGGAGAAGGGAGCUAGGACCGUAAGUAACCACUCCGCCAUCUGUUGGAAGGCACUCCACAUCCAAGGCCUUGGGAGGAUGUGCGAUGCUCCUAUCUCUGGCCUGAGAGUCAUCUGCCAUCACUGACUUUAGUUGCUGUCCUUUCAGGGGUGACCUGCCUCUGUUACUUGGCUCCUGCUGUCC